rnacentral:misc_RNA from 1 species
UUAAGUUCAGCGGGUAGUCCUACCUGAUUUGAGAUCAAACUUCAAAAACCUGUCUCCACAAGAGAGACGUUUAUGAGCCCCAGCGAACCCUCAUUGCUGAAGGUUGCUUGACGGAAAGCCACAAGCGUAGAUAGUUAUCACACCUGGGAUCCCACCAAAACACUGGCAAGCUGAUCCAUUUAAGGGGAGCCGACCAUGGG